UAUUUUAAUCUAUGUUCUGUGAAUGACAAGUGUUAUCUGUCAAGUGUCAAAAAACUUGAAAAACUUUUACGAAGUUUGAUUUUUGUUAAAUUUGUUUAUAAACACAAUGCCAAAGGCAAGAAUAAUUGCCCACGCCAGAUGGAGACCCAGCUAAAUAAUGUAGUAACAGCGCGUGGUCGUGUGAUGAGGGUUCCUUGACUUGAGUUCUGGCGCAACACGUCCUGGGCACUAAACAAGAUUGGGGAUGGGACGUCUAAAGAGGUGCAAGCCUGGAAAACGCUCUCGUCUUGCUCUACAGCACUUGCACUUGUCCCACCAUCUACCAGUGUUGGAACUCUUCCAAUAAUUUCCCACACCCAGGUGGAGAAUACUCCAGUUACUGCUACUCUAAAAUAUCUCUCAUCUUGUUCUACAGCGCCUGCACCUGUCCUACCAUCUACUAGUGUUGGAACUCUUUGAAGUGUAUUAAUGAUUAUUAUUUUAGUAACCAUAAAAGUUUAAAACAAUACAUUUUAUUGCAUAAUUAUUUGUUAGAAAAAAAUGAUGUAAAAUGAGUAGGGAGGCUGUUGAUUUUUCAUGGUUAUUUUAUAUCUUGUUGAUUGUUCCAAAAAAAAACUAAGUUUUCAAGAAUGCUGUGAUUAAAGUACCUAUAGUAUUAUAUUUAAAAUGAAAACUUAGUUUGUAAAGAGACGAAGGCUUACCACAAAAGAAGUACUUAUAGCUGUCUGUGUCUGUGUAAAGAAUUUAAAUAAAAAGAUGUGUAUAUUUAAACAGUUUUCUUUAUUUUAUUAGUCAUUUAUUCCUGUAAAUAAGCCCACACAGGGCACUUUUACAUGUCCCAACAUAAC